GAUGAACGCUGGCGGCGUGCCUAAUACAUGCAAGUCGAGCGAACAGAUGAGGAGCUUGCUCCUCUGACGUUAGCGGCGGACGGGUGAGUAACACGUGGAUAACCUACCUAUAAGACUGGGAUAACUUCGGGAAACCGGAGCUAAUACCGGAUAAUAUAUUGAAGCGCAUGGUUCAAUAGUGAAAGACGGUUUUGCUGUCACUUAUAGAUGGAUCCGCGCCGCAUUAGCUAGUUGGUAAGGUAACGGCUUACCAAGGCAACGAUGCGUAGCCGACCUGAGAGGGUGAUCGGCCACACUGGAACUGAGACACGGUCCAGACUCCUACGGGAGGCAGCAGUAGGGAAUCUUCCGCAAUGGGCGAAAGCCUGACGGAGCAACGCCGCGUGAGUGAUGAAGGUCUUCGGAUCGUAAAACUCUGUUAUUAGGGAAGAACAAAUGUGUAAGUAACUAUGCACGUCUUGACGGUACCUAAUCAGAAAGCCACGGCUAACUACGUG
rnacentral:rRNA from 1 species